UACGUAGGGGGCGAGCGUUGUCCGGAAUGACUGGGCGUAAAGGGCGCGUAGGUGGUUCUUUAAGUUAUGAGUGAAAGUCCAGCUUUUAAGGUUGGAAUUGCUUUUAAUACUGGAGGGCUUGAGUGCAGAAGAGGUAAGUGGAAUUCCCAGUGUAGCGGUGAAAUGCGUAGAGAUUGGGAAGAACACCAGUGGCGAAGGCGACUUACUGGGCUGUAACUGACACUGAGGCGCGAAAGCGUGGGGAGCAAACAGGAUUAGAUACCCGCGUAGUCCCUGAG
rnacentral:rRNA from 1 species